AGAGUUUGAUCCUGGCUCAGGAUGAACGCUGGCGGCGUGCCUAACACAUGCAAGUCGAGCGAUUCUCUUCGGAGAAGAGCGGCGGACGGGUGAGUAACGCGUGGGUAACCUGCCCUGUACACACGGAUAACAUACCGAAAGGUAUGCUAAUACGAGAUAACAUAAGAAAUUCGCAUGUUUUUCUUAUCAAAGCUCCGGCGGUACAGGAUGGACCCGCGUCUGAUUAGCUAGUUGGUGAGGUGACGGCUCACCAAGGCGACGAUCAGUAGCCGACCUGAGAGGGUGAUCGGCCACAUUGGAACUGAGACACGGUCCAAACUCCUACGGGAGGCAGCAGUGGGGAAUAUUGCACAAUGGGCGAAAGCCUGAUGCAGCAACGCCGCGUGAGCGAUGAAGGCCUUCGGGUCGUAAAGCUCUGUCCUCAAGGAAGAUAAUGACGGUACUUGAGGAGGAAGCCCCGGCUAACUACGUGCCAGCAGCCGCGGUAAUACGUAGGGGGCUAGCGUUAUCCGGAUUUACUGGGCGUAAAGGGUGCGUAGGCGGUCUUUUAAGUCAGGAGUGAAAGGCUACGGCUCAACCGUAGUAAGCUCUUGAAACUGGAGGACUUGAGUGCAGGAGAGGAGAGUGGAAUUCCUAGUGUAGCGGUGAAAUGCGUAGAUAUUAGGAGGAACACCAGUAGCGAAGGCGGCUCUCUGGACUGUAACUGACGCUGAGGCACGAAAGCGUGGGGAGCAAACAGGAUUAGAUACCCUGGUAGUCCACGCCGUAAACGAUGAGUACUAGCUGUCGGAGGUUACCCCCUCCGGUGGCGCAGCUAACGCAUUAAGUACUCCGCCUGGGGAGUACGCUCGCAAGAGUGAAACUCAAAGGAAUUGACGGGGACCCGUACAAGUAGCGGAGCAUGUGGUUUAAUUCGAAGCAACGCGAAGAACCUUACCUAAGCUUGACAUCCUUUUGACCGAUGCCUAAUCGCAUCUUUCCCUUCGGGGACAGAAGUGACAGGUGGUGCAUGGUUGUCGUCAGCUCGUGUCGUGAGAUGUUGGGUCAAGUCCCGCAACGAGCGCAACCCUUGCCUUUAGUUGCCAUCAUUAAGUUGGGCACUCUAGAGGGACUGCCAGGGAUAACCUGGAGGAAGGUGGGGAUGACGUCAAAUCAUCAUGCCCCUUAUGCUUAGGGCUACACACGUGCUACAAUGGGUGGUACAGAGGGCAGCGAAGUCGUGAGGCCAAGCUAAUCCCUUAAAGCCAUUCUCAGUUCGGAUUGUAGGCUGAAACUCGCCUACAUGAAGCUGGAGUUACUAGUAAUCGCAGAUCAGAAUGCUGCGGUGAAUGCGUUCCCGGGUCUUGUACACACCGCCCGUCACACCAUGGGAGUUGGGGGCGCCCGAAGCCGGCUAGCUAACCUUUUGGAAGCGGUCGUCGAAGGUGAAACCAAUAACUGGGGUGAAGUCGUAACAAGGUA
rnacentral:rRNA from 1 species